CAAUAGCGUAUAUUAAAGUUGUUGCAGUUAAAAAGCUCGUAGUUGGAUUUCUGGUGGGAGCGAUCGGUCUGGCGCUUAGCGCGAGUACUUGCAUCGUCUCCGGCCAUCCUUGGGGAGAGUCUGUCUGGCAUUAGGUUGUCGGGCAGAGGAUCCUCAUCGUUUACUGUGAAAAAAUUAGAGUGCUCAAAGCAGGCUUAUGCCGUUGAAUAUAUUAGCAUGGAAUAAUAAGAUAGGACUUUGGUACUAUUUUGUUGGUUUGCGCACCAAAGUAAUGAUUAAUAGGGACAGUUGGGGGUAUUCGUAUUCCGUUGUCAGAGGUGAAAUUCUUGGAUUUACGGAAGACGAACUACUGCGAAAGCAUUUACCAAGGAUGUUUUCAUUA
rnacentral:rRNA from 1 species